AUUGAACGCUGGCGGCAGGCCUAACACAUGCAAGUCGAACGAGUGGCGGACGGGUGAGUAAUGUCUGGGAAACUGCCUGAUGGAGGGGGAUAACUACUGGAAACGGUAGCUAAUACCGCAUACCAUCAGAUGUGCCCAGAUGGGAUUAGCUAGUUGGUGGGGUAACGGCUCACCUGGUCGACGAUCCCUAGCUGGUCUGAAAGGAUGACAGGCAACACUGGAACGGAGACACGGUCCAGACUCCUACGGGAGGCAGCAGUGGGGAAGAUUGCACAAUGGGCGAAAGCCUGAUGCAGCCAUGCCGCGUGUAUGAAGAAGGCCGUCGGGUUGUAAAGUACUUUCAGCGGGGAGGCGUUACCCGCAGAAGAAGCACCGGCUAACUCCGUGCCAGCAGCCGCGGUAAUAC
rnacentral:rRNA from 1 species